UCCAUUUUGAAUUGCAUCCCAUUUCAUUCAUUUUCGUAGCUGACGAGCCAGCAAGCGAAUCAAUGUCCACAACAGGAACUCAAUAUCCAGGUCAAACAACGAUGAAUGCCCGCCACCACAGAAGCUUAAGGAUGUACAUAUACCUCAGUGGUGCAGUUGCUGUGUUCGCUGUUAGUUUGGUAGUGGCGUUUGUUUGCUGGCGAAAACAACGGAGAAACCGAACAAAUUGCUGUACACUUGGCAAAGAACGAGGCGGGGCUCAAAUAAUUCCUUUAGGUCCACAAAACGAGGACAUUGAAACAGCAGCAAGUUUGCAGGCCUAGACAUGCACUCAGAAGUGCGGCUGCAACCUAGCCAUAGAACCUUUUUCUAACUUCUCUGCCGUUUCAUGAGGCCAUCUGAUGAUAUGUAUGUGGUCCGAGUAUACUGCUCGUGUGUAUUAACCAGCCUUGGUUGCAUUUUGGCCCUUAUCUAACUUAUUAUGUAGUUUUGCUUCAUUAAAUGACUCGAUAGCGUCCCUGAACUGGGGCAUUAUAAUCAAUUGAUUAAUGAAAAAAAAAGAAAAUGAAGACGGAAAUUCAUUAAUGUGCAAGUAAUAGCAGGUAGCCUCGAACUAUCCAAACAAUAAAGUUUUAAACUAAGUCUACUUUA